rnacentral:lncRNA from 1 species
GAAAACGAAAACCAGCCGCGGAAGAUCAACCAGAUAAUCGAACGUCGAACGCCAAAGACUUUAAGGCAAUCUUAUUGCUAGGGUAUAGAGGAUUAAGUGACUCAGUAGAAGCGUUUAUGAUAGUUAGGAUAACGGAAAGGGCAAAAGAUAACUUUUAUCACCUAUACGAUAAAAGGGAAAUGAGAUAAAGAGAAAGUUUGUGGGCAGAAGAGACAUAUCUCUUCCAAUUGUCCCAAUUCAAGAAUGUAUAGCGAAUGUUUUAUUUAUGAAUCAAUGGAGUAUAAGAUGAAAGAGUAUAAGGUGAAAGAAGAAGAAAUGAGAUAAGGAAUGUGAAUACGAGAAAUGACAGCAAGAUAUAGGCGACAACGAAAUAAACCGUAAGUGUCUUCAUUAUGGUCGUUCAAGAUAUCGUAGCAGUUGAGGAUACUGUGG